UAGAUCUGUCUCAAAUGUCUUUGACUGCAGUGUGUGAUUUAGAUGUACAUUGAAACAUUUUUUUAAAAAAUCUAAAAUUUUAAAAAUGGGUUUGGAAACAGCUGACAUGUCAGUUAAGGUUCUCACUUGAAGCCCUAAAGUCAGACCUGAAAAUUCUAGGCCUUUGAUCAAAAUAGCAGGAUAAGCCUGCACAGAAUUUCUGCUACCUCAAAAGGAAGAAUAGUAAGCAACAAGAUGAGGACCACUGGGAUCACUACUGAGAGAUGGUCCCAUCAUAGCUGACCCUGUCUGCAGUUAUCAUUGUCUCAUGGUUUCUCCCAAUCAUAUUUCUCUUCAGACCACCCCAUUCUCUAGAUACAGUGAGGAUAGGCCCUCCAAGCCGCGCUGCACAGCAAUCCCACAAUUUAACCCUAGCCUCAUCAUGGGACAGUUUACAACGGCCAUUUAAUCUACUAGCCAAUGCAUCUGUGGACUGCAGGAGGAAACCAGAGCACCCAGAGGAAACCCACAUGCAUGGGAAGGGGCAUACAAACUUGCUUACCGAGCUUGCCCAAAAGCUUCUCAGUUUUUCCACAACAGGUGUCACACCACCUGAAUCUGGCUAUUUUAUAGGUUAGUUGUUAUCACUGAAAUGUUGUCAUCUCCAGUCUGAGUAUUAAAUGACUAUAGCUUUUAUUGUC